rnacentral:lncRNA from 1 species
GUUUAGUCUCUAAACCUAAUUGUUCAACCCAUACCCGAAAGUCCAUAUUUUAUGCAUUGAAAUUUAGAUCUUAAAUUCAUAAUUUCAGAUCUUAUAAUUUCAAAUCUUAAUUCUCAAUUAAAUGUAUUAUGUACAUGGGUUUGGGUUUAGAUCUUGAAAUAUUUUCUAAUCUACAUCAUUUAUAUUGCAUCUCAUACAAUAUCACUAUUUGCAAAAUCGAGUCGAUUUAUCCUGAUACAUAAAUCGACUUGUUACAGU